rnacentral:lncRNA from 9 species
UUUUUAUGCCAGUACCACACUGCAUUCAUUACUAUAGAUUUGUAGGAUAGUUUAAAAUCAGAGUGUGUGAGGCCUCUAGGUUUGUUCUUUUUUCUCAAAAUUGCUUUGGUUAUAUUGGGGGUCUUUUGUGAUUUCAUACAAAUUUUAGGGUUGUCCCAUUACUGUGAAAAAAUACUGUUGGAAUUUUGAUAGGAACUGCAUUAAAUCUGUAGAUCACUAUGGUGUUGUUAUGGACAUUUUAACAGUAUUAUUUCUUCCAAUCUGUUAUCACAAGAUAACCUUCCCAUUUAUUUGUCGUCUUCAAUUUCUUUCAUCGGUGUCUUGUAGUGUUCAGUGUACAAAUCUUUCACCUUGGUUAAAUUUAUUGCUAGGUAUUUUCUUUUUCAUGCAGUUAUAUAAAUGGUUUUUUUGAAUUUCUCUUUCUGAUAGUUUGUUAUUAGUGUAUUGAAAUGUAACAGAUUUUUGUAUAUUCAUUUUAUAUCCUACACUUCCUGAAUUUAUUAGUUCUAACAGUUCCUGAGAGUGUCUCUUUAGAUCUUUUGAAGUAUCCCAGACCAGAAGCCUACCUCUCAGGCCAAAGCUCCAGGACAAACAAAUAGACCUUUUUCUCAGAAGGACUGGGGGUGUUUCUGUCUACUGUCUGUUCCGUGCCAUGCACUGGUAGUUUGCCAAGAACUGUCUCUCUGAUUGUUAGUUACAGCGCCAUCUGACCCAGGAGUGCAAGCCCCCGGGCCUUCAGGGACUGGCAAUCAAGUGGUGUCCCCUAGGUGGCAGUGACAAAAAUCAGGACUCCAGCAGAGGGAGAGCAUGAAGGUAGCACUUGUUCAGAAGAAAGAGGAAAGAGAAAAAAUGGUGAAAAUGGUGUCUCUGUCCCUGAAGAUUAACCAAGAAAGCGUAGGUAGUAUGUUAUCAGUUAUCAGUUUGAUUUAUUCCAGGCUUUUUUCUUUGUUUAUAUAUAAUCAUUUGCAUGCAUUGUGUGAAAUUAUUAUUUUAGAGAAUAUUUCUUCAAAUAGCUUUUUUCCACUUAACAAUAUAAAAUGAACAUACUUCUGAGGUAGAGCAUAUGAAUGGCUCCAUCUUUUCUAAUGUAUGGAAGUACCAAAAUAUCUUUAUCCAUUAACUUAUUCCUGGAUAAUUGGAUAACUCUUAAAUGUUGCUAUUACAGCUGUGCUAUAUUGAGUAUUCUCUUACAUAUAUCUUAACACUUAAACUAUUUCCCAUAAAAUAGGGAUCUUAAAAUUAUAUGGUUUAGUCACUUUACAUUUUGAUAGCUAUUGUCAAAUCAUGCUGCAAAUAGUUUUACAAUUUGUUUAAACAGUCUAUGGGACUUGUCCAUUUACUAUAUAUUCUACUCAGCACUGGGAAGUAUAGUGUUCUUAAAUUCCUGCAAUCCUUUCAGACUCUUUCACUGUCAUAUUUAUUUUCACUUUCUCAAUUUAUUUAUAAAUGUGAGCAUCUGUGCAAAAAUUUAUGGAACAUUUGUAUUUCUUUUCCUAGAAAUUGCCUUUUCCUAUUCUCUGCUUAUAGCUGAGUUUACCAUUUUAUUAUACUUUAUACAUAUGAAUACUAUAUGUAGGAAAGUUAAUGUGAUAUGUAUUAUCUAUAUUUUCAGCUAAGGAUAGGUUGUCUUUUUAUUCUGUUUAUGGUAUCUUCCUCCAUAUGCAAGUUUAAAUCUUUCAUAUGGGCGUUCCCUAGUGGUUAGGAUUAGCUGCUUGCACAGCUGCAGCCCAGGUUCAAUCCAAUCAUCAGGCUGCUGCUCACUGUAGCCAAAAAAAAAAAACAAACUGUGAUUGUUUUGGAGUUCCCUGGUGGCCUAGUAGUAAGGAUCUGGUGUUGUCACUGCUGUGCCAUGCUUUCAAUCCUGGCCUGGGAACUUCUCCAUGCUGUGGGCAUGGUCAAAUACAUAAAUCUUUCAUACAGUUGACAUGUAAAUUAUUUAUGGAUUCUUAAUUUUAUACUGUUUUCAAAGCUUCUGAAAAGUGUAUAUAUUUUUAAAAUUUAGAAGUUUUUUUAUGUUUAAAUCUUUAAUCUACCAUUUAUAAUAUGGCAUGGGGUCUCAUGAUACAGUUGUCCCAACACCAUUUAUAAUUGCUUAAUCAUGUCUGAAUGAUUUUUCAAAGCCCCUAUCAUCACACACUGAGUUUCUGUAUAUACCUGGGUCUGCUUUGGAGUCUAGAGUGUUCAUUGAUCUGCUUAUCUGUGUCAUCUUGCACCAGGGCAACAGUGUUUUUUUUAAUAACUGUGAUCCACUCUAGUAUAUAUUUUUCACUUCCAAUUUUUUUCUUAUUUUUGUGAAUUUAUUUAUUUGUACAUUUUAUUUAUUUAUUUUUGGCCUCACCUGUGGCAUGUGGAAGUUCCUGGCCAGGGAUCAAACCUGUGCCACAGCAGUAACAUGAACAGCUGCAGUGACAAUGCCAGAUCUUUAGCCCACUGCACCACAAGGGAACUCCAUUUUUUGCAUUUAAUAUUUCAUAUUAAAAAUAUAACAUUUUUGUGCCUUUUAAAAAUAUUUUCAGGAUUUUGAAGUAAAUGCAUUGAGAUCAUAGAAGUAUUUGGAGAGAAUGAUUUAACUAUUGAGGUUAUCUAUCUAAGUGUACAUUUUUUUCUUUACUUUUUUUCAUGCUAAGUAAAUUUUUAUAUUUUUUUCUUCAAAUAUGUAUUACAUAUUUCUUGUUAGGAUUAUGUUAUUUUAUGUUUUCUGUUGCUAUUGUGUUUUUUUGGCUGCACAUGUGGAAGUUAUUAGGCGAGGGAUGGAACCUAUGCUGCACUAGAUCCUUAACCCAUUGCACUACAGGAGAACUUCCAAAUUUGACAAUAUUUUGUUUGAUUUUUUUUCCUGACACUUUGGAAAUUUAUUGACUUAAAAUUUUUAUUUUGUCUUUUUAGGGCUGUACCCUCAGCAUUCGGAGGUUCCCAGGCUAGGGGUGCAGUCGGAGCUGAAGCCAUUGGCUAUACCACAGCCAUAGCAACAUGGGAGCCAAGCCACGUCUGCAACCCACACCACAGCUCAUGGCAACACCAGAUCCCCAACCCACUGAGCAAGGCCAGGGGUUGAAUCCACAUUCUCAUGGAUACUAGUUGGGUUCAUUAACCUCUGAGCCAUGACGGGAACUCGGGGUCUCCAAUAUGAUGCUUCCAAAUUCGACACUUGGGAAAUCUGUUGACUUCCAUGAUUGCUGUGGCUAGGUCUUCCAAAACUAUGUUGAAUAAAAGUGGUAAGAGUGGACAUCCUUGUCUUGUUUCUAGUCAUAGCCGAAAUGAUUUUCAGCUUUUCAUCACUGAGUAUGAUGUUAUUAGUGGGUUUUUCAUAUAUGGCCUUGAUUAUGUUGAGAUAGGCUCCCUCUCUGCCCACUUUCUGGAGGGUUUUUAUGAAUGGAUGUUGAAUUUUGUCUAAAGCUUUUUCUGCAUCUGAGAUGAUCAUAUGAUUUUUAUUCCUGUUUGUUAAUGUGUAUCAUACCAGUUGUCCUGCACAUAUUGAAAAGUCACUAAAUCCAUGGGAUUAAUCCCACUUGAUCACAAUGAAUGAUUCUUUUAGUAUAUUAUUGGAUUUGGUUUCCUGUUAUCUUGUGUCUGUGUUCAUCAGUAAUAAUGGCCUUUCAUUUUCUUUUUUAUUUUUUUUGUGGUGUCUUUGGUUUUGGCAUUGGGGUGAUGGUGGCCUCAUAGUAUGAGUUUGGAAGUGUUUCUUCUGAUGCAAUAUUUUGGAAUCGUUUCAGAAGGGGCCACACCCAGGCUAGAGGUCCAGUUGAAGCUGUAGCUGCUGGCAUACACCACAGUCACAGCCACAGCCACAGCGGUGCAGGAUCUGAGCCGCAUCUGUGACCUACACCACAGCUCAUGACAACACUGGAUCCUUAACCCACUGAACGAGGCCAGGGAUCCAGGGAUCGAACCUGUGUCCUCAUGGAUGAUAGUCGGGUUUGUUAACUGCUGAGCCACGAUGGGAACUCCUAUUUGUUACCUUUAUGGCCCCACCCACAGCAUGUGGGAGUUCCUGGGCCACAGCUGCUACCCACACUCAGCUACACCAAUGCCAGAUUCUUCAAUCACUGCAACAGGCCAAGAAUCAAACCCACACCUCUGCUGUUACCCAGGCUGCUGCAGUCAGAUUCUUAACCCACUCUGCCACAGUGUGAACUCCAAAACUUUAUUAAAGUUCUCGUUUGUUCACUGUG